rnacentral:rRNA from 1 species
CUACGGGUGGCAGCAGUGAGGAAUAUUGCACAAUGGGGGGAACCCUGAUGCAGCAACGCCGCGUGGAGGAUGACGCAUUUCGGUGUGUAAACUCCUUUUAUAUGUCAAGAAAAUGACGGUAGCAUAUGAAUAAGCACCGGCUAACUCCGUGCCAGCAGCCGCGGUAAUACGGAGGGUGCAAGCGUUACUCGGAAUCACAGGGCGUAAAGGACGCGUAGGCGGGUUGGAAAGUCAGGUGUGAAAUCCUACGGCUUAACUGUAGAACUGCACUUGAAACUUCUAAUCUAGAGUAUGGGAGGGGGAGAUGGAAUUAGUGGUGUAGGGGUAAAAUCCGUAGAUAUCACUAGGAAUACCUAAAGCGAAGGCGAUCUCCUGGAACAUUACUGACGCUAAGGCGUGAAAGCGUGGGGAGCAAACAGGAUUAGAUACCCCUGUAGUC